rnacentral:rRNA from 1 species
AGAGCGAACGCUGGCGGCAGGCUUAACACAUGCAAGUCGAGCGGGCGUAGCAAGUACGUCAGCGGCAGACGGGUGAGUAACGCGUGGGAACGUACCUUUUGGUUCGGAACAACCCAGGGAAACUUGGGCUAAAUACCGGAUAAGCCCUUACGGGGAAAGAUUUAUCGCCGAAAGAUCGGCCCGCGUCUGAUUAGCUAGUUGGUGAGGUAAUGGCUCACCAAGGCGACGAUCAGUAGCUGGUCUGAGAGGAUGAUCAGCCACAUUGGGACUGAGACACGGCCAAACUCCUACGGGAGGCAGCAGUGGGAAUUUUGCGCAAUGGGGAACCCUGACGCAGCAACGCCGCGUGGAGGAUGAAGUCCCUUGGGACGUAAACUCCUUUCGAUCGGGACGAUAAUGACGGUACCGAGAGAAGAAGCCCGGCUAACUUCGUGCCAGCAGCCGC